rnacentral:rRNA from 1 species
AUUAAAACAUUUUUGACUUCCUAGUAUAGGCGAUAAAACAGAAACCACUGAGCAAUAGAGAAAGUACCGCAAGGGAAAGCUGAAAAAGAAAUGAAAUAACCCAUUAAAGUAAAAAAAAGCAGAGACUAGCCCUCGUACCUUUUGCAUCAUGAUUUAGCAAGAACAAUUGGACAAAAAGACUUUCAGUCCAACCUCCCGAAACUAAACGAGCUACUUCGGAGCAGCAUAUCAGAGCCAACCCACUUCUGUAGCAAAAGAAGGGGAAGACUCCCAAGUAGCGGUGAUAAGCCUACCGAGUUUAGUGAUAGCUGGUUAUCCAAGAAAAGAACUUAAAUUCUGCAUUAAUUCUUCAAUUACACAAUAAAAAACCUUUUAACCAAGUCCCAUUGUAAAAAUUAAUAGUUAUUCAAAUAAGGUACAACUUUUUUGAACUAAGAAACAACUUUAAAAGGAGGCUAACGAUUACAAUUUAUCCUAAGGGUUGUCCCUCAGUGGGCUUGGAAGCAGCCACCUGUAAAGCAAGCGUUAUAGCUCAAGCUCAGUCACAACCCAACAAAUUCCUAUAAUCACUCAAAAUCCCCUAACAAACCUAUUGGAUUAAUUUAUUUACUUAUAAAAGAAAUUAUGCUAAAACGAGUAAUAAGGGGUCAACCCCCUCCCACGACACCAGUGUACGUCAGAAAGAAUUAAAUCACUGACAAUUAACCGAUGCCACACUUGAGGCUCUUAUGAUAUCAAAUAAGAUAGCAAGAAAACCCCAUUCAAAACAUCGUUGACCCGACACAGGAGUGUCCCUAAGGAAAGAUUAAAAAAGAGUAAAGGAACUCGGCAAACACAAACUCCGCCUGUUUACCAAAAACAUCGCCUCUUGCUUCACCAUGUAUAAGAGGUCCCGCCUGCCCUGUGAUUUUUUUAACGGCCGCGGUAUCUUGACCGUGCGAAGGUAGCGUAAUCACUCGUCUUUUAAUUGAAGGCUUGUAUGAAAGGCAUCACGAGAGUUUAUCUGUCUCUACUCUUCAAUCAAUGAAAUUGAUCCUCCCGUGCAGAAGCGGGAAUAAAAACAUAAGACGAGAAGACCCUAUGGAGCUUUAAACACUUAAGUUAUUAUUAACAAAACACCUCUCUUCCAAGGACAUAAACAAAGACACUUAAUUUUAUAACUUAACUUGUUUUUGGUUGGGGCGACCGAGGGGAAAAAUAAAACCCCCUUAUCGAAUACGUGAAAAACACCUAAAAAUUAGAGCCACAACUCUAAUUAAUAGAAAAUCUAACGAAAAAUGACCCAGAAGUCCUACACUUCCGAUCAAUGAACCAAGUUACCCUAGGGAUAACAGCGCAAUCCUUUCCCAGAGCCCCCAUCGCCGAAAGGGUUUACGACCUCGAUGUUGGAUCAGGACAUCCUAAUGGUGCAGCCGCUAUUAAGGGUUCGUUUGUUCAACGAUUAACAGUCCUACGUGAUCUGAGUUCAGACCGGAGCAAUCCAGGUCAGUUUCUAUCUAUGGCGGAAUUCUUCCCAGUACGAAAGGACCGGAACAAUGAAGCCAAUGCUUAUAAGUACGCUUCAUUCCAAC